rnacentral:lncRNA from 1 species
UCAAGUUUUGCUAGAUGUGCAAGUUAGCAUUUUUGCCUCUUAAGAUAGGCAAGAUAGCACAUUUGCUUCUUUUGAGAUAGCAACUUUUCGCUUCUCUUUAGACUACAAGCUAGCAAUUUUUUACGAUAUACAAGUUAGCAAAAACUUCGAAAGCAAAUGCAAGAUAACUUUCUUGUGUAGGCUCAUGAUUAUUGCUUCCUAUUGUAAUGUGCAGGUUGCAAGUCUUGCUUCUUGAGAUAUUCAAGAUGGUGAUGUUCAAGAAGACAACUUUUGCUUCUUGAAAUAAGCAAGUUAGCAAUCUUUGCUACUUAAGAUAGGCAAGCUAGCAAUCAAGUUUUUGCAUCUUGAGAUAGGCAAGAUAGCACUUUUGUAAUUUUUUUUUGUUUGGCAAGCUUGUGAUGUUCAAGAUAACAAGCUCUUUCUUCUCUUUUGAGAAGUGUCAUUUUUGCUUUCUUUGCAAAGUGCAAGCUAGCAAAAUGCCAAACUAGCAAGAGAUGAUGUUUUACAUGAGGCAAGCAAACAAUUUGGCAAGUGUUACAUUUGCAUCUUCUCUUUAGAUGUGCAAGAAAAUAAACAAGUUUUUGCAUUUUCUUGACAUUUCAAGCUAGCAAUUAUCGGUGAUGUUCAAGAUAGCAAUUUCUUCUCCUUUAUAAUUUUUGCCUUUUUCUUGAAUUGUGCUAGCAAUCUAUCUCCCCCUUUGUCAUUGUCAAAAAGAAGGGAAAAACCCUUUACAUCAAUUUCUAAAUCAUGACAAAGGUAAGUAAUCAUUCUUAUUUGUGCAUCAUUAUAGUUUCAAUGCACAAAUU